rnacentral:lncRNA from 1 species
AAAGAACUCAGCAUGCCCAUCAGGCUCAGAGUAACACCCACCAGGAGAGCCUGACCUCCUGGAAGGUCCCUGUGGCCUGAGUAGGGAUCUGAAUCAGCAUGAACAUCAUGCCAGCAGCAGCUCUACGUGCUGGGUGAAGAACGGCUUAAAGGGGGACAAGAAUGGAGCAGGGAGAGUAGUCAGGAGACCGUGACAGACAGGAGAUGGAAAUGACUUGGAAGGAGGAGGUGGCGAUAGAGACGGAAGAUUAGGCCUGAGCUAAGUACUGCCAAUCCUCCUCUUUUUGCUGAGGAAGACUGGCCAUGAGCUACCAUCCAUGCCCAUCUUCCUCUACUUUAUACAUGCGAUGCCUGCCACAGCAUGGCUUUUGCCAAGCGGUGCCAUGUCCACACCUGGGAUCUGAACCGGCGAUCCCCGGGCCACCAAGAAGUGGAACGUGCAAACUUAACUGCUGUGCCACCGGGCUGGCCCCAACACAUCUUUUUAGGGGGACACAAUUCAACUCACAACACCCUCUCAUCCCCAGGCAACCACUAAUCUACUGUCUGUAUUUAUGGAUUUACCUACUCCGGACAUUUCAUGUAAGUGUAAUUAUAUAAUAUGUAGUCUUUGGGACUAGUUUGUCUCAGCAUAAUG